AAGUGUUUGAGAAACAACAAAAUCAAAAAAUAUAAAACCUAAUUUGUAAAACUUUUUUAAAUUGAACUUAAGAACAUUAUGAAUUUUAACUCAGAUACUAAAUCAAGAUACAUGAGAAUAAUAAAACAAUAAAAACAAAUCUAUAUGUAAAAUACUGCUUUGAACAUGCAAAUAUGUAUUGAAUGAAUGAAGAUAUAAAUUAAAGAAGGAGAAGAAGAAGAAAGAAAGUGGGCUGCUGGACAUGGGGGUGGGGAACGAUCGGCG
rnacentral:lncRNA from 1 species